ACAGUCUGAACCCAGUAUGAUGGCUAAAGGUGGACAUUAGGUUAUAAGAAAGAGAUCCAAAUGCUGACUUUGAGAUCGUAUCUCUUUUGCGAAUCUCCAAAAUGGUUCGUGUAGAGGACUAAUUCGCCUGCCCCCCCUGAUGGACUUCGCCUCUGUAAGACGCAGGAUUGUCGCAGGAUGGUAACCCCCGAUGCCCGACAGAAGAUUCUUAUCUAUCCCCUUCUUUCUUCUCCUCUUCUUUCUUUUUUCUUUCCUACCUUUCAAAUAAAAAUGGCUUUAUUAAACAUGUUACGGAGGGUACUGUAAUGAUGUGAUCGUGGACAGACAAUGAUGAUGUUGACAUACUGUGGAAACAGAAUGCAGGUUAGAUGUACAACUUUGUUUUUUUGUUUCCUCUCCUUUCUUGGAAUACACAUAUUAUGAUGUAUAUUUAUACUCUGUACCCUCAAUGUGUGUGUAUAUUUGCUAAUAAAAAUUGGAAUUU